AUUGAACGCUGGCGGCAGGCCUAACACAUGCAAGUCGAACGAGCGGCGGACGGGUGAGUAAUGCUUGGGGAUCUGCCAUAUAGCGGGGGCUAACUACUGGAAACUGUAGCUAAUACCUCAUACUAUCGGAUGAACCCAAGUGGGAUUAGCUAGUAGGUGGGGUAAAGGCUCACCUAGGCGACGAUCUCUAGCUGGUCUGAGAGGAUGAUCACCAACCCGGGGACUGAGACACGGCCCAGACUCCUACGGUAGGCAGCAGUGGGAAAUAUUGCACAAUGGGGGCAAUCCUGAUGCAGCCAUGCCGCGUGUAUGAAGAAGGCCUUAGGGUUGUAAAGUACUUUCAGCGGGGAGGCGUUACCUGCAGAAGAAGCACCGGCUAACUCCGUGCCAGCAGCCGCGGUAAUUC
rnacentral:rRNA from 1 species